rnacentral:lncRNA from 1 species
ACACUGCCCCCUGGUGGCCGAUGCGGCCAGGCCCGAGAGAGCGCAGGCCGGGUGCGAGCCAGGCUUCCUCACCACGCGGCUUCCCCACUCAUCCCAUAGAAACCGUAACUGAGCAAAUGACGGAGGCCAUCCUGAUGAGUACGAGGUGGUAGAGCUGCCUGCUUUUUGAUUAAUGUGACGAUCACACCCUCUGCCUGGGAGUUUUACAGACUGGUGAUGACUUUUUGUGGCAUCUCAGGAAAGAACAUAACUUCGUGGACGUCCUUAGUCAGAAUCUACUCAGUGUAUCUACUCAGUAUAGGCUCACAUGAGCCCUCACCUUCCCAGGGAGUCACAACCUCUACUAUACUUCUUCUUUCUGCUCUGCCCCCCACAAACGGCCCUGCCAGCCCUCACCACCUAGAGGGAGAUUGGGAGCCGGUAGAGGAAAGACACCCUGAAUCCCCGAGGUCAAGCAAAGCCCUGGGGAGGCGCCGUGGGAUCCCUGCCUCGGGCCUGCCUAGACAGUAUGUGAAUGAGUAUCCCAGAGAUUCUCCCCGCUGUGACCUCGAGGGCCAGCCUGCCUGUGUGGCCGUGAGCUGCUUUCUUCCCAGAGGAACUUGCUUGCGGCAGCAGGACUCCACAGCCUCAGGGGCAGCUUGGGCCUCGGCAAAGUGGGGAGCUGCCUCGGUCCAGCAGGGGUCCAGAUCACCUCCUCAUUUAGAGGGACCAUGUCUCUAGAGAGAUGACAUGCCAAAAACGGAAACCUCACAGGAGCUUUUUGUCCACCUGCAAGCGAGGUGCAGACACGUUUGAGAUGGUGGAUGGACUUUUUUUUUUCUCUUUUCUCUCUUUCCAAAAUCUGGACACACCAUGGCCCAGUGAUGGAGAAGAAGUCGAGGACCUGUCAAGGAUCUUCUUUCUUAGGAGUGGCGGAGGGCUGACCAGUCUCAAUAAAGCACAGGGGGAGCCCCUGUG